AUUGAAGGGCUGCUUUCCUCACCCCACUACAUUAUAUCAUACCAUUUAUUUUGCCUGACUGCGAUACGGACAUUAUUGAAACAAUUGUUUGAUGCAGAGACUAGGAUGAUGAGUCAUCGACUUUAUUCCAUAGCAAAUCUACAGCCAUGGCUCUAAGGCAAAUUUCCUUUUCGUUUUGAUCAUUCCAGUUGAGCUGCCUUUUCAAAUCCUUUUAAAUCCUCGCAAACCAGUCAAUGCAGAAACAUGCACAGAAAGCUCUCGCCCGAACUCGGGAGUUUAAAUAUAUCUGAGCUUAGAAAUGGGGAGUUAUGGAUGGAAAGGCCUUACCUCGACCUACAAGAUUUAUAAAUACACUUUCCCUCAUUUAAGUCAUUUAAAUAUAAGAUUCGAUUUUGUUUUAAACAAGCAUCAAUUUGGGUGAGGCCUUGAGUGCAGCUGGAUUAUUUGGGUUUUUGGCUUUGUUUUUAAUAUCUAAACAGAUUUACUUGAUACACAGAAAGAUAAGCAUCUAUAAACACCCUACCUCCAGUUUCUCUGAAUAGAAUCUCUCUGAUUGACAUGGAUAGAUCUAACCAUAAACAAAAGUUUCUCCUGAUAAUAUGAAGAGAGAGUAUUUUAUAUAACCCGCUUAGGUUUGCUCAAACCCUGUGUUUCAAAGGAUAUAGAUAUGGUAAGGCCAAACUGGUUUCAUUUGUGGGUCUGAAUUUCAGAUCACUGUUAUUUAGAACAGCGUCUGUUUCUGUCUGAUGAAUCAGUCCGCUGGAGGACACGGGUAAGGGGUGCCUGUUCGGAAUACAGAGAGUUUUAGGAGACUGACUCUGGGUCAUAACUAGAUUGCAGUCUGUGGUGAAACGGUGGUUAAUGCAUGGGCUGUAGUGAGCUAGCGGAUCCUGUUGUCAAACCACAGCGAAUGACGCUAUAAACACCAAAGCGGUGCCGCAGUGAAGGGGAUCUCAUUGAAUUCAGCUGUUUCCUGGGGAAGGGUUGAAUGGGGUGAGGCUGGGAUUAGGAGCCACUUCGCUGCUGUCAGUGUGCAGAUUAAGGCGAUACUGAGGCUGGGGGAGCUGCACUGGGAUCGACCUUUCACCUCUCCCUCCCAAGUGGGAGAGUUUGCUGGAGAGAGAGCUGGUUUGCGGGGCUCGGGUGAGGUUCUCUCGCCCGUGACGACCCCGGGCUGAGCAGCUCAGGGCUGAGAUCCUGCCGGGUUCGCUCUGGUUUCAAGGACACGGGGAGAUGAUCAGGACUUUGGGAGCCAACAUCUGCCUGGCUGGUGACGUCAGCAGCCCCGUGUAAUCCGCUUGUACUGAAGGCAGAUGCCUUAUUUGUUUGGCUGGAGAGCCAUUAAUCCCUAAUUCGGGAUCAGCAAGCGAGGGGGAAAGACCAGACCGCGCCACCCCCCACCCCAAAAAGCACCUAGCACCGAAGAGGACCCUCACCUCGCGUUCUCUGCGGGCUCCGGCGCUGCCAGGGGAAAAGCUUGAGCUCUCCGCAGGAGCUCACUCUCCGGAUCUAUGGUGGUCAGGGUAGGAACCGCGUCCCCACGUCCUGUACGCACAGAAGCUGGUGUGCAACUGAAGUCCUUGGGAAACCAAACUCCUGGAGCCACCCAUUUCCGUUUGCCAGAAUGGAACCGCGCUCGUCUAAAGAAAUAGCCCAAUGUGCCUUCUCUCUCUCUCUCUCUCUCCCACUGAAGCUAAACUUCAGAGGCCACCGGUAGAGGUCAACUGGCUCAGUUUUAGGGCGCUGAUCGCAUUCAGACUGGGUAAUAGGCUUUGCACAGCAACCCUCCUUGGCUCAGGGAUGCCGUCCGAAUCAGUCUGGAUUUGAUGUCGGUUUAAACGGUUAAAAGGGCAGUAAAAGACCGGGCCUGCGCCUGCAGAGGAACAAAGCGGGGGAAGAGAUACUCUGCUCAGGUCCCAUCGGCAGCGGCCGGAGCCCGUCCGCUGUCCAUGGUCCUGAAGGCAGCUCUUGCGCUUUAUUCUCCAGCUCGGAACAGCAAGACGCCGGUUCUCUCUGACGCUAACUCAUUCGCAUCAGGAAAACACAUUCGCUUUGCGAUCCAGACUAGUCCUGGAUACUCUGCCCAGAAAAAACAGACGACUGGAUCAGGGCUACUUUAUUUUCCACCUCCCCCACCUUGAAUAGUUUUCAGAUUGCGGACAUAAGUAUAUUUCAUUCACUCAGGAUCCGGGCUGUAACUGAAAGGCCCCAGUGAAAAAGAGACCCGCUGUGACAAUUACAUACCUACGGUUUAACAACAGAAUUUUGUAAAGCGGGAUUAUUGUGUUACCUAUUCUGACAGAUUACUCUAAAACCCUCUAGCCGCUUCCCCCAAAAUAACAGGUAUGAGGCACCAUAUUGAUCGGCAAGCAGAUAAUAGUACUCAGAAUGCGUCUGUCUACAAAAUGCAACCGUUACAGCGCCAGAAUCUAUUGAUUCUUGGCGUUUCACAGAGUAUGCCAGCCGCUGAGAAAGUGCAUGCCUUUAAAAUAUGCCACUGGGGGAGAAAGGAACAUUAAAAUAAGUAAUAUAGGGUCUGCAAAAUAACUGCAGAUAAUGAAGGCUCAGGUAUUUAUAGGACACACUGCUGCUUAAUCUAGAUUAAUAUAUAGGGGCAGGAAAGUGCAUUACUUCCUACACACUGCCUGUCUGAACAUUAGCAUGGCAGGGGACCGAGGGCGCAAGCACAGCUGCUGCUAAUAGCAAUAGAGAAGGGUGAUAACUUUCCACAGCACAUUUAGUCAUUUGCUAGGGAGAUCAGGAAACUCCCUUAACAUUGAUCUCUUUUGCAGACGAGGUGAAAACUACCUUUUCCCGCUAUCUUGGUCACUGGGGCCUCGGUCCUGCAGUAGUUGAAGUCAACGACUAAACUCCCAUUAACUUCAGUAAGAACAGAAACCGGCUGCUGGCGGUGGUAGGGUCUGUUUAAUUUUGUCAUAUUACUCUCCCUAGGGUUUAGCCUAAUUCUAAUAUAUUCAAAUAAUUCAUUUAGCAAACAUUCAAUAGGCCAACACAGCCACCUCUGGGCAUUUAGGUAUAAAUAUAACAAACAUAGGCACCAGGAAACAUGCUAUGCUUUUGGAGCAGAACAAGCAUGUUAGAAGUGAACCCCUGAUUCCGCAAGUCCUCACUCAUGCGAAAGAAACCAUUGGUUGCAGUGGGAGUUUUGUCCGAGUGAAGACUGCAGCUAGGGCCUAUUACAUUCACCACAACAGAGAAGGAUUACCUCUCUCCCUUUGCCCUCCCGGAACUUUUCACAACUGAACUCUCCUUGGGCUUUCUGACACAGAGGAGUCAAAACGGACAGUUGCAGACCCUUUCCUGGGAGCUGGUCGAAUAAAUGGAAGCUUUAAUUUCGUACCUAGUGUUUCCUUUUAAAAGCCCGAACUGUUAAUGCUUUGAGUCUGCAUGACUUAUGUUUACAAUUCGUUGUGAACAGCUUCCCAGGAUUUAAUUAAGAAAAAAUGUAAUUAUUGGAACAAUAAAAUAACCAUCCAGACCUAUGUAUCAUGGUAUAUGUAUAUAUGAGAACAUAUACUAUUUUGUUUAAUCCAUUAAAAGUCAAAGCAAAUUCUAACUCAGGAAUAGAUUAUAAAUUUACAGGUUAGCUGAGCAAUAUAAAAGCGUAGCUCUGAAACAUUAAAUUAAUUGGUUUAAGGAUUUCAAAUACUAGAUUACCCCACUGGUGAAACCCGCCUCUGUCUUUCGCAUAUGCAUCAAGUCAGUCAUAUAUACUAUUCAAUGUAUACUGUAUAAUACCAAAUAGGGCAUAUAAAUGAAAUGCCCAAUUACUGAGACAGUUAAAAAUACUUCCCCAUUUUUAUUAGACAAAAGGAAUCCUGGUAUUUUCUAAAUUGAAAUAAUAUAGUGAUUGGAACUGGACAGUAUGCUAUGAUCUGGAGGAACCAUGAGCUCAUAAAGAGAGGUUUUAUUAAAGGCUGAAUAAUUCCAGGUCUGAUGAGAUUUUUGAUUCUCUAGGAAUACUGAGAAAUUCUCUCAUUUGAAAAUAAUCUCGGAGUUUACUAUUUACCACCUUCCUUCCUCUUUCAAAAAUGGAGUCAAAAGUUCUGCUCUCAGCAGUUUUUACACAGUGCAGCAUAAUGUCCUAUCCUAACUCAACGAAGGCUGGCCAGUGGGAGGCGAGCAGAGAGAUUUGUCUUGGGGCCCCCUCUGCAUCAGAAGCAUUUAGAUUUGUGUUUGGUUGGUUAAAGUUAAAGCUUCUUGGAGAACUGUUUUGCCCAGUGAACCGCUCCUAUUUUGUUUGAGAUGAAGCAAGGCUGCACCAUUGGGAAAACGUAUGCAGAUGUUUGUUUUCUUAUUUCACUCUGGCUACCCAGAGCAGAAAACUUAAAGUAGGUUACUUAACUAGGUCAUGGUACCCUCUACUGGCCAAAAGAGGAAGAACAUCGAUUUGCAAAAGUGUUCGAUGACAUCUAGGAAAAGAACCCGAAACUAAACAUGACAUAGUAACGUAAUACUUAAGAUUAUUCUAAGUACUUUGCAAUUUAAAGGACUGCGAGAUAAACCGGCCGCUUGGAACCCGAGGAUUUCCCUCUAUUGUCUUGAGGUCACAAAGCGGGAUGACGACUUCAGGGAGAAAAGGAGUUCGACAUUCGAGAACGUUUGGUCUGCAGCCCAGUACCAAGCCCUCCAGAGUCACUCAGGAGCAAGGGACUGAGAUUAAAGCCUGGGAGCUGAACAAAAGGCAAGAUAUUGCCCAGUUAGACAGAUCAGGAGAGAGUUCCAGUGUUGACAUUUUAAAUGUGGCGUGGGACACCUGAAAUAACACAGGUAAGUGGAAGGAAGAUCAAAGAAAACUCUACCACAGAACUUGCCCUCUUGAAUUUAUUUAAUCCUAUCCUGAAAUCCUCAAGAAUAGGAUCCUCAGAUUUCAAAGGGUGGAAGAAAAGGGCAAUAAAGCAUAACUUUCAACCUACCAAAGACUAGUGUGUGACAAUGGCUUUUACGGUCAGACAAGAACCCAAGAUAAAAGAGGGGUCCAACAAGAACUAGCAAAGGAAUGACAUGAGAUUCAUGUCCCAAUCCCUGCUAUACAUACACAAACUUCAUUGCUUCAGUUGCAUUAUUCAGCUCUUCUGAUGUCAGUUUACUGCCGUAAAUAGUGAUAGAAUACCAGGUUGUAAAUUUGGAUCUAAAAGAAAUUAAGUAUCUCUUAAACUAUGGAGAGGUGUAGCUAGAAGAUAGUACAGUUGUGCUACAGUAAUGUAUUUUUAAAAAUUAAAUAUCUGACACUGUUCCUUUUAAAAAAGUGGACUAGAAGCAGCACAGUUGGAAAAUGAGGGGGAAGGAGAAGCUUGUUUUAUAGUUACACUUCUUCAAAUGUUCUAUACAAAUUGGUAUAUAUGUACAGCUGUAUUACUUGAAUGUCCUGACUUACUAAAUUAUAAUAGGACCAUAGAUACACUUGAAUAAUUUUCAAAUAAAAGAAUAAAUGUAGUAAUUCUAUCAGUACUGAUGUAAUGAAGUUAAUUUAUUGUUCACACUGAUUUGAAGGACUAGUUUAUAAUAAAUCCUCCAGAAAUAAAAUUUGAUUUAUUAAAUUGUGUCAGUAUGCAAUGCUUAAAUGAUACUCACUUUCAUGCAAACUAAGGUUUUAUAUGAAACUACUGAAUAUCUAAUUUAACCUUAAUGUUAAAUCAGUCCCUAGCAGUUAUCCUUUUACAAUUUUUCUGCACUAGAAAAUAUCAUAUUAACUAACUAUAUUAUUCAUAAAUUGGUAAACAGAUAAAUUUGGAAACGGAAAAGAAAAAAUUGUAUGGAAGGUUUGUGCUAGGGCAUUUCUCCCUCAGCAAUUACAACUGAAACACUUCUCUGAAAAUUACUUUGCAGUUAUUUUAACAGAGAAAAUAAUUAGAAUAUGUAGGUCUUUUUCUGUCUUUGACAAUGAUACAUUUUACUAUUGUUAGUGUACAUCACAGUACAGAACGCUUCAGUAAAAGAGCUUUUGCAUGGUUCUCCAAAUGUAUAAUCCUCCUCAGCAUAAUAUCCAGAGUUCACCAAACCUAUAAUAAAACACAUUAAUAUUAAAGAGAUGUUUUGAACCCUUCUAAGUUCUAUAAUUACACUAUUAAAAGCACUCAGAGUGCAAGAGGUUCAAUCAAGUCAUAUUCAAAGAAUGUACAGGUCACUAGAAAAUAGUUCUCACCCGCAAUAUGUGUUUUUCCUGUCAAUACUUAGUAAAGAAUUUUACACUGUAAGUCGGUUUUUUUGGGUUAUAUACUCCCCCUGCAUUCAGUCCAUACAACUGCCUUUAACUUCAGUGUGAGCUGAGAGUGUAAACUGAGGGGAGCAUAUAAAGUGGACACAGUUAAAAGUGUAUCCUUAACAUUUUUACCAUGUUUACUUAAGUGAGACUUAAGAUACUCAGAUAUACUGGGUGAAAUCCUGGCCCUAUUGCAAUAGAUAACAACACUCUCAUUGACUUCACAGGGUCAGGAGUUCAUCCACAGUCCUUUCUCAGGCAGAUGCCUCUUGAAUUCUAUGAGAACUUGUAUGAAUUAGGUGAAAAACCAGCUGCUACUCAAAUGAAAUAUUGAAAUCUGGAGAGUUGAAACUUAUGGAGACCAUGAUGAAGUGAAUUGCAGCAGUCAAGAUCACAGAAGAUGAAGACAUAAACAACUUCAGAGGCAUCACUGAGACAGUGUUAGAUAUUUCAAAGGUGAAAGCAAACAGGUUUGCAGACCAAAAAAGGAAGAGUGGGUGAAAUGCUGGCUCCAUUGAAGUCAAUGGCAAAACUCUCUUUGACUUCACUGGGGCCAGGAGUCACUUUUUAAUUUAUGGACUACAAACCUGACAAUGAAGAAUGAUAGUUUUGAGCAGAGGAGUGAGAUGAGACAUUAAGGGAUUGGUUAAAGGUGUUUUUUCUACUGGUUAGAGGGACAUAAAAUUACAGAUACACUGAAGAGAAAGAAAGUUAUGAUGGGCUGAUGAAUUGAUGAUGAGGGAAGGUUAUAAAGCUAUAGCUUGCUACUAUGUUUCUCUAACACUUCCUCCAAAACAACCUAUAUAACAAAAGUGGAAAGUUAGCUUUCCUGAGUUUGUCAAAUUUGCACUAAAAGAUUAAUUGUCCUAAAUAUUAAACUAACAUGUAUGUUACACACCACAUAUAA